UAAGUGCAAAUUUCACACAGCGUCGACCUCUUAUGGUUAUCAUCGAUUCUCAAAUCUCAUUCUACGUUCCCACAGAAAAUACAGACCAUUGGAAUUGCUAUAGGCUUUACUGCCGAUGGAAAUCGUCAAUCCAUUUGCAUUUUCAAGUCAAAGUCUGAUGGAGCAAGUGCGUAUAUAGUUGGGUGCCCCUCUUGUUUUGAUUCAUUCAGGUAAAACUCGAUUAUCUCUCAGAUUCCUUGUAACAAUUUAGACACAGAUGAGUUGAUCUUUGAUGAAUUUCUUCAAUUCAUUGCACUUUUAGAUUUACCGAACAGUCCGAGUCAAGCUACUGGGUUUCGGAUGAACCCAUACAUUGAACUCUACAUCUGCCCUUGGGUGGGAGGCAUGAAGUCAAUAGUAAUUCAAAAUAUAAAGAAGAAAACAUACCAUGAAGUCAAAGACAUUCAACAUCUACAUGUAAUUUUCCGGCGCCCAUGCAUGAAGUAGGAAGAUCUUUUGGUCUGCUGUGGACGUUCAAUGCUGGAAACUGUUAAGUUUUUGUUGCUCAAGCACAAUGCUUUUUUAACUCUAUGGAAAAUCAAAGUUCUGGGGUAAAGUCCAGAGCGGAGCCAGAAUUUCAAGCUUAUGGGUUCGAGAUUCUAAUCAUUUUAAGUUACUGGGUUCAAAUUAAUUAGUUGUACAUAAUUAGUGAAAUUUUAAGACAAAUACAUGAUUUGAAUAGCUAAUGGUUUCGGCCGAACUCGUAACCCACACUGUGGCUCCGCCUCUAGGGUAAACCUCUCAAGGCUAGAGUAGAUGGACUCACACUGAGUGUUUUAAUUGGGAUUUGAGUAUCGAAUCUCCAUGUUGUUACUUCUAUGCCUCUAUCACUCACCUAUCCUCUCCUGAUAAUUGGCUCGAUAAUUUGUUAACUGUUUAUUCGGAGUUGAGUAGUACAUAUAUAUCAAAAAUUGCCUGCUUAUUGAACUUAUACUUUUUGUUUGUUACUACCCUCUGAUAGUAACACGUGAGAAUUUUGGAAGUUUCUUUAUUUGCGACAUCAACUUAACCUCUCUCAAAGUGAAACUUAGAUUACACAGAUUUUUUUGGUAACUUCAAGAACAAAAGUAAUUCAUGGUUUACAAAUGUUACAGAAUUUUAAUGCUAGGGGUGUGUAUCCUUCUUCAUAUUGCGUGCAAUGUUCUUUCAAAUAGAGAAGCUUCUUUACUAUACUGAAAGCUUACAAAAUUUCAACUCCCUAUGAAUGGUGAUUGGUGAACUAAGCUUACAAAAGCACUGUCAGGGUGCUUAGUUGACCUCUACAGUAGGCUAGUAGCUGAGGCUGAUAUAGACCUUUUUGAGAAGCAAGGUCAAGUCUGUAAUUUAGCUAAGCUGUUAAAACUUUUGGAUCUCAUUGAAUACUCCUUUAUCAAUUUUGAGAAGAAAGAAUCCUCUUUUUCCAAUAGCUUUGCUGGUGUGUCAUAUUCGGCUAUUCUUCCUGUUAACAAGUGAAGGAAUUCAUAUAGUUAGAAUCAAGAAGUUAGCAGCUUAUUCAAAUCAAGAGGAUGGAGAGAUAUUAGAUGUAUUCAAAUAUUUACCUUCAUUCAAGACUAAGACAAGAUCGCUAUCGAUGACUGUAUGGAUUCUGUGAGCUAUUGUGACAACUGUUCGAUUUCUGAAUUCUUGACUGAUAAUCUUUUGUAACACUGCAUCAGUUGCAGCAUCAACUGAUGCUGUUGCUUCGUCCAGAACGAGAAUGCUGCUUUUCUUUAGCAAGGCUCUUCCAAGACAGAAAAGCUGCCUUUGACCGACACUCCAGUUCUCUCCAUUUUCAACCACUGUUAAACUGACCGCAUUAGUAGCUUUCAAGAAGUAAUACGCGAUUGCUUUCAUAAAAAAAAGCCGAGUCUUAAAUUACUAUAUUUAAUCAAGAAAUUUCUAGUCUCACCUGUAGUUUCCAGCUUUUCUGGCUUUGCACGUAUUAUAUCACCAAGUUGGCAUUUGUCCAGAGCCUGACAAAAGAAGAUUACUGCACAUUAUUCACAAUCGAAUCACCAAUAUUUAAGUUAAUUUCAACUUUUUUCUUGACUACAUAUAGAAGUUGGUUAAAGUUUAUACCCAGUCAUUUAAACUUUGCAAAACAAGUACAAGACCUACCAGAGGGUUAACAAGUUUUUUGUGCUUUUAGCUUGUUACCAUGCAAAGAUGACUUAUAAGACAAUCUGUCAAUUUAAGUGGUCAUUUUUGCAUAAUUAUUUGUGCAAUACUCGGUACAAUAAGUACCUCCCAGAUUUCAGUAUCAGAGUGCUCUGCUAGUGGAUCUAAGUUUCCUCUAACUGUUCCCUCGAACAUUGUUGGGUCCUGAGGAAUAAUACUUAGCCUUGACCUCAAAUCAUAAAGACCUAUCUUGCAAAUAUCUAUAUCAUCGAUGAUGAUGCUUCCUUCUCUUGGUUCUACGAUCCGGAAAAGGGCCUGAAUGAGGGUUGAUUUACCACUUCCUGUUCUGCCCACAACACCGACUUUCUUACUUCCUGGAAAUGUGCAUGUAGUGUUUUUCAGAACAGAAGGGAGGUGUUCAGCAUAACGUAUCUGCAGAGAGAGAUAUGGUGAUGAUAUCAGAGGGUUGAAACUUUCAGCCACGCAAGCUAAAACUUUUUUUUUAAAACAUGUAUAUAAUAUUGCUGCCAGUUUUCGGUAAAUAGAGCUUCAUUCCCUUCAUGUCAGGUGUUCAAACCUCAGAACUGAGUCUAGUUUGAUCUAAGCUAUGUGACACUAUCAUUACCUGCAAAUUUUUGAAGGAAAUUGUUCCAGUUUCUGGCCAAGUGCUUGAUGGUCUGCUAUUUUCAAUCACAAGAGGUGCUUCACUCGCAAGGUUUGAAUACUGGAGAAUCCUUUCAACUGAUAUCAUUUUGUUUUCAGCAUUGCAAAUAUUCCAUAUUACUGAAGCUUGUAAAACAUUCAGAUUGAUUCCAUACGUUACUGCCAAUCCUGCAAUGCCUGUAGAAUAUAAAGCGACAUCAGUUUUGUGCUUUUAACGUCUUGGUUUUCCUACUUGUGCUCUACAUAAUAACAUGAAGGAAAAGCAAUUUCUGAUACUUACUUGGAUUUAUAAUUCCUUCAGGGAGUGUGACUAGCAGAACAAGGGAGAAGGCAAAAACAAAAUUAGAUAGCUGGUUCAGUCUAAAAGAAAGCCAUUCCAUUGCUGAUACAUUGUGGAACCAUGGCCUUGAAUGACCAUCUAUGAGACAAAGGUUUGCAAGAGCAAAUCGAUCUUUUUGGUUGAAAGCACGAAUGGUUGCUGCUCCUGCGAGUGAUUCUGCAAAGUGAUGGAGGAUUGGAGCUCUUUGAACUCCAGAUAAACGAGCAAGCUCUCUUGCAGUUGGUAUGUAGUAUUGCUGGCAUUUUUAACAAUAAUAUCUUAAAAUAACAUUCUACAAAAAUUAGAAAGAAUCUUUGUAAUCUUCAACAAACAUAAAGUUUGUUCAUCCUUUGAUCUUUAAAUAUAAUUUUACUAAUAUUUUCCCAAACUUCACUUGAUCAUGUAUACAAAAACUCUUCUAUAAGGUGGAGAUGAGAACUUAUUUUAGCAGCAAACUUGGUUUUAUCGCCGUGUCAGCCUCCCCUAACUUGACCACUAGAAUUCUUUGCCCAAAACAAACCAGCAUCUUCUUGUUUUAAUAUAAUUAGCAUUUAGAAAUCUAAAACUUGUACAUCUUACUCACCUGGUACCAAAUGCAGACUGCUGUUACUGGAAUAAAGAUGACGAAUACUUCCCAUGCGACCUGUGACAUGACUGCAAUUGUCCCAAGAAGCUGAAUAAUGGAGAAGGCGCACCAACCCAACUUGGUUGCCAUUUCCAAGUCUAAAACACUUUGGUCUGUGGAUACCUGUUCAUGUAAUAAUAUGUUCUUGAGUGAUUGAUCCAAUGGAAUUGCAUCAAUGAAUAAACUGAAUUUCAGCCUUAAGUUCUUUAGGUUAUGGCUAGAAUUAGCUCACUGUGUUUUUUCAUGGUAUUAUCUUGAUUUUCUUAUUCUGAUACUUUUCUGUGGAUUAACUUAUGAGUUACACAUUCAGAUACCGCAUGACUGUACAGUGAAAGAUCCUACUUGCUUUAUGCGGUAAUGAGAUAUAACUGAUAUGUAUCCUCUGACUUAUCAUUUUAGUAUCUGUCUUUGAUCAGUUUUCCUUCUCAGAGGCAAAUUGCAGUAGUGGAAAAACAAAAGAAGAGUUGUUAUCAUGUCUGGUUUCUUACUAGUUAAUUCUUUUUGACAUUUAUCAGCGAUCUAAUGGUGAAGUACGUAGCUGAAUCCACACUUCUUCAGAUCAAGGGAAGUAUACUACAGCUGAUCUGCUGUCCCCAUGUCCAAUCCCAAUCAGCUAAAUUUGAGUUACUUACGCGG
rnacentral:lncRNA from 1 species